rnacentral:rRNA from 1 species
UACAGGGGGUGCAAACGUUGCUCGGAAUUAUUGGGCGUAAAGCGCGCGUAGGCGGCUACCUAAGUCGGAUGUGAAAGCCCCUGGCUUAACUGGGGAAGUGCACCCGAAACUGAGUAGCUAGAGUGCGAAAGAGGGUCGCGGAAUUCCCGGUGUAGAGGUGAAAUUCGUAGAUAUCGGGAGGAACACCGGUGGCGAAGGCGGCGCCCUGGGUCGACACUGACGCUGAGGCGCGAAAGCGUGGGGAGCAAACAGG